rnacentral:rRNA from 1 species
AGGACGAACGCUGGCGGCGUGCUUAACACAUGCAAGUCGAGCGGAAAGGCCCUUCGGGGUACUCGAGCGGCGAACGGGUGAGUAACACGUGAGCAAUCUGCCCUUAGCUUCGGGAUAGCCCCCGGGAAACCGGGAUUAAUACCGAAUAUGACCUCGGCCGACAUCGGCUUUGGUGGAAAGUUUUUCGGCUAGGGAUGAACUCGCGGCCUAUCAGCUUGUUGGUGGGGUAAUGGCCUACCAAGGCGACGACGGGUAGCCGGCCUGAGAGGGCGACCGGCCACACUGGGACUGAGACACGGCCCAGACUCCUACGGGAGGCAGCAGUGGGGAAUAUUGCGCAAUGGGCGAAAGCCUGACGCAGCGACGCCGCGUGGGGGAUGAAGGCCUUCGGGUUGUAACCCCUUUCAGCAGGGACGAAGCGAGAGUGACGGUACCUGCAGAAGAAGCGCCGGCUAACUACGCGCCAGCAGCCGC